rnacentral:rRNA from 1 species
AUACGGAGGAUCCAAGCGUUAUCCGGAUUUAUUGGGUUUAAAGGGUGCGCAGGCGGAAGAUUAAGUCGGCGGUGAAAUUUUGCAGCUCAACUGGAAAAGUGCCAUCGAUACUGGUUUUCUUGAGUGUGGCUGAAGUAGGCGGAAUUUGUGGUGUAGCGGUGAAAUGCAUAGAUAUCACGAGGAACUCCGAUUGCGCAGGCAGCUUACUAGGCCAUAACUGACGCUCAGGCACGAAGGCGUGGGGAUCAAACAGGAUUAGAUACCCUGGUAGUCCACGCAGUAAACGAUGACUACUCGCUGUUUGCGAUACACAGUAAGCGGCUUAGCGAAAGCGUUAAGUAAUCCACCUGGGGAGUACGUUCGCAAGAAUGAAACUCAAAUGAAUUGACGGGG